GACGUAGGGUGCGAGCGUUGUCCGGAUUUAUUGGGCGUAAAGAGCUCGUAGGCGGCUCGUCGCGUCGACCGUGAAAACCCGCGGCUUAACUGCGGGCUUGCGGUUGAUACGGGCGGGCUAGAGUUCGGUAGGGGAGACUGGAAUUCCUGGUGUAGCGGUGAAAUGCGCAGAUAUCGAGAGGAACACCUGCGGCGAAGGCGGGUAGCUGGGCCGACACUGACGCUGAGGCGCGAAAGCCAGGGGAGCGAACGGG
rnacentral:rRNA from 1 species